rnacentral:rRNA from 1 species
CAAUAGCGUAUAUUAAAGUUGUUGCAGUUAAAAAGCUCGUAGUUGAAUUUCUGGCGGGCGCGCCGGUCUUCCAAGUGUUGUACUGGGCGCAGUCCGCCAUCCUUGUGGAGAGGGCUCGCAUUGAGUUGCGUGUCGGAUCUGCAUCAUUUACUGUGAAAAAAUUAGAGUGUUUAAAGCAGGCUGUCGCUUGAAUACAUUAGCAUGGAAUAAUAAGAUAGGACUUCGGUCUAUUUUGUUGGUUGCGAACCGAGGUAAUGAUUAAUAGGGAUAGUUGGGGGUAUUCAUAUUUAAUUGUCAGAGGUGAAAUUCUCGGAUUUAUGAAAGAUGAACAACUGCGAAAGCAUUUACCAAGGAUGUUUUCAUUAA